ACCGUGGCCGGAGCUUCAAGUUCCGCAGCCCCAGUGCGGAGGGCGGAGACUGUGCCGACAUGGAGCUGGGCCUCGCGGGCCGCCGGGUGCUGGUCACCGGGGCAGGCAAAGGUAUAGGGCGCGGCACGGUCCAGGCGCUGCACGCGACGGGCGCGCGGGUGGUGGCUGUGAGUCGGACUCAGGCGGAUCUUGACAGCCUUGUCCGCGAGUGCCCGGGGAUAGAACCCGUGUGCGUGGACCUGGGUGACUGGGAGGCCACCGAGCGGGCGCUGGGCAGCGUGGGCCCCGUGGACCUGCUGGUGAACAACGCCGCUGUCGCCCUGCUGCAGCCCUUCCUGGAGGUCACCAAGGAGGCCUUUGACAGAUCCUUUGAGGUGAACCUGCGUGCGGUCAUCCAGGUGUCACAGAUUGUGGCCAGGGGCUUAAUAGCCCGGGGAGUCCCAGGGGCCAUCGUGAAUGUCUCCAGCCAGGGCUCCCAGCGGGCAGUAACUAACCAUAGCGUCUACUGCUCCACCAAGGGUGCCCUGGACAUGCUGACCAAGGUGAUGGCCCUAGAGCUCGGGCCCCACAAGAUCCGAGUGAAUGCAGUAAACCCCACAGUGGUGAUGACGCCCAUGGGCCAGGCCGCCUGGAGUGACCCCCACAAGGCCAAGACUAUGCUGGACCGAAUCCCACUUGGCAAGUUUGCUGAAACUAGAAGAGCCUUUCCUCAACUUGUGCUAUUCACGAUGUCAUGAGCACAGACACAGCACCCUGAAGUCUAAUCCGCAUUUUAUCAUCUGAAGUCUAGACAAGUAACCGUCCCACAGAUGUACAUAACCGAGGGGCAGAGAAAACAGUCGUGUAUGCAGAAAUAACUAGGAAGUGACGUUUGCUGAUUUUGCUUUUAAUAACACAAAUUAUAAGCUUCUAUAAUUUAA